AGAGUUUGAUCCUGGCUCAGGACGAACGCUGGCGGCGUGCUUAACACAUGCAAGUCGAACGAAAAGACGGAAAGAGCUUGCUCUUUUCAGAAUUGAGUGGCAAACGGGUGAGUAACACGUAAACAACCUGCCUUCAGGAUGGGGACAACAGACGGAAACGACUGCUAAUACCGAAUAAGUUCCAAGAGCCGCAUGGCCCAUGGAAGAAAAGGUGGCCUCUACCUGUAAGCUAUCGCCUGAAGAGGGGUUUGCGUCUGAUUAGCUGGUUGGAGGGGUAACGGCCCACCAAGGCGACGAUCAGUAGCCGGUCUGAGAGGAUGAACGGCCACACUGGAACUGAGACACGGUCCAGACUCCUACGGGAGGCAGCAGUGGGGAAUCUUCCGCAAUGGGCGAAAGCCUGACGGAGCAACGCCGCGUGAACGAUGAAGGUCUUAGGAUCGUAAAGUUCUGUUGUUAGGGACGAAGGGUAAGAAUCAUAAUACGGUUUUUAUUUGACGGUACCUAACGAGGAAGCCACGGCUAACUACGUGCCAGCAGCCGCGGUAAUACGUAGGCGGCAAGCGUUGUCCGGAAUUAUUGGGCGUAAAGGGAGCGCAGGCGGGAAACUAAGCGGAUCUUAAAAGUGCGGGGCUCAACCCCGUGAUGGGGUCCGAACUGGUUUUCUUGAGUGCAGGAGAGGAAAGCGGAAUUCCCAGUGUAGCGGUGAAAUGCGUAGAUAUUGGGAAGAACACCAGUGGCGAAGGCGGCUUUCUGGACUGUAACUGACGCUGAGGCUCGAAAGCUAGGGUAGCGAACGGGAUUAGAUACCCCGGUAGUCCUAGCCGUAAACGAUGGAUACUAGGUGUGGGAGGUAUCGACCCCUUCCGUGCCGGAGUUAACGCAAUAAGUAUCCCGCCUGGGGAGUACGGCCGCAAGGUUGAAACUCAAAGGAAUUGACGGGGGCCCGCACAAGCGGUGGAGUAUGUGGUUUAAUUCGACGCAACGCGAAGAACCUUACCAGGUCUUGACAUUGAUCGCGAUCUGCAGAAAUGCGGAGUUCUUCUUCGGAAGACGAGAAAACAGGUGGUGCACGGCUGUCGUCAGCUCGUGUCGUGAGAUGUUGGGUUAAGUCCCGCAACGAGCGCAA
rnacentral:rRNA from 1 species